CGUGUAGGCUGCUCUGCAAGUCGGAUGUGAAAGCCCUGGGCUCAACCUAGGAAGUGCAUUCGAAACUGCAAAGCUUGAGUCCUGGAGAGGAAGGCGGAAUUCUCGGUGUAGAGGUGAAAUUCGUAGAUAUCGGGAGGAACACCGGUGGCGAAGGCGGCCUUCUGGACAGUGACUGACGCUGAGACGCGAAAGCGUGGGGAGCAAACAGGAUUAGAUACCCUGGUAGUCCACGCCGUAAACGAUGGGUGCUAGGUGUCGCGGGCUUUGACCCCUGCGGUGCCGUAGCUAACGCAUUAAGCACCCCGCCUGGGGAGUACGGCCGCAAGGCUAAA
rnacentral:rRNA from 1 species